UGGGGAAUUUUGCACAAUGGGGGAAACCCUGAUGCAGCGACGCCGCGUGAUUUAGAAGGCCUUCGGGUUGUAAAAAUCUUUUCUAUGGGAAGAAAAUGACAGUACCAUAGGAAUAAGGACCGGCUAAUUACGUGCCAGCAGCCGCGGUAAUACGUAAGGUCCGAGCGUUGUCCGGAAUCAUUGGGCGUAAAGGGUACGUAGGCGGGUAAGCAAGUUAGAAGUGAAAUCCUAUAGCUCAACUAUAGUAAGCUUUUAAAACUGCUCAUCUUGAGGUAUGGAAGGGAAAGUGGAAUUCCUAGUGUAGCGGUGUAAUGCGCAGAUAUUAGGAGGAAUACCGGUGGCGAAGGCGACUUUCUGGCCAUAACCUGACGCUGAGGUACGAAAGCGUGGGUAGCAAACAG
rnacentral:rRNA from 1 species